rnacentral:rRNA from 1 species
ACUGAAUAGAUACCCAGGUAGUCCACGCUGUAAACGAUGAAUACUAGGUGUUGGAUACAUUAGUAUCCAGUGCCGCAGCUAACGCAUUAAGUAUUCCACCUGGGGAGUACGAUCGCAAGGUUGAAACUCAAAGGAAUUGACGGGGGCCCGCACAAGCAGUGGAGCAUGUGGUUUAAUUCGAUGCAACGCGAAGAACCUUACCUAGGCUUGAAAGGCAAGUGACCGACUGUGAAAGCAGUCUUCCCGCAAGGGCACUUGUACAGGUGCUGCAUGGCUGUCGUCAGCUCGUGCCGUGAGGUGUUGGGUUAAGUCUCGCAACGAGCGCAACCCCUACCAUUAGUUGCCAUCAGGUUAUGCUGGGCACUCUAAUGGGACUGCCUACGCAAGUAGUGAGGAAGGUGGGGAUGACGUCAAGUCAGCAUGGCCCUUACGUCUAGGGCUACACACGUGCUACAAUGGGUACUACAACGGGUUGCUAAGCCGCAAGGUGGAGCCAAUCCCUAAAAGGUAUCCUCAGUUC